UACGGAAGAUGCGAGCGUUAUCCGGAUUUAUUGGGUUUAAAGGGAGCGUAGGCGGCCUUUUAAGUCAGCGGUUAAAUGUCAGCGCCCAACGUUGGCUUGCCGUUGAUACUGGAUGGCUUGAAUACACACAAGGAAGGUGGAAUUCGUCGUGUAGCGGUGAAAUACUUAGAUAUGACGAAGAACUCCGAUUGCGAAGGCAGCCUUCUGGGGUGCGAUUGACGCUGAGGCUCGAAAGUGCGGGUAUC
rnacentral:rRNA from 1 species